UACGAAGGGUGCAAGCGUUACUCGGAAUUACUGGGCGUAAAGCGUGCGUAGGCGGUUUGUUAAGUCUGUCGUGAAAGCCCCGGGCUCAACCUGGGAAUGGCGAUGGAAACUGGCGAGCUAGAGUACGGUAGAGGAGAGUGGAAUUCCCGGUGUAGCAGUGAAAUGCGUAGAGAUCUGGAGGAACACCCGUGGCGAAGGCGGCUCCCUGGUCCGGUUCUGACGCUGAGACGCGAAAGCGCGGGGAGCGAACGGG
rnacentral:rRNA from 1 species